CAGUAGCCGGGUAAUACGGAGGGUGCAAGCGUUAUCCGGAUUUAUUGGGUUUAAAGGGUCCGUAGGCGGACUUAUAAGUCAGUGGUGAAAGCCUGUCGCUUAACGAUAGAACUGCCAUUGAUACUGUAAGUCUUGAGUAUAUUUGAGGUAGCUGGAAUAAGUAGUGUAGCGGUGAAAUGCAUAGAUAUUACUUAGAACACCAAUUGCGAAGGCAGGUUACCAAGAUAUAACUGACGCUGAGGGACGAAAGCGUGGGUAGCGAACAGGAUUAGAUACCCCCGUAGUCCCUGUCUCUUAUACA
rnacentral:rRNA from 1 species